rnacentral:rRNA from 1 species
UACGGAGGGUGCAAGCGUUAUCCGGAUUCACUGGGUUUAAAGGGUGCGUAGGUGGGUCUGUAAGUCCGUGGUGAAAUCUCCGAGCUUAACUUGGAAACUGCCAUGGAUACUAUUAGUCUUGAAUACCGUGGAGGUCAGCGGAAUAUGUCAUGUAGCGGUGAAAUGCUUAGAUAUGACAUAGAACACCAAUUGCGAAGGCAGCUUACUACCCGAAUAUUGACACUGAGGCACGAAAGCGUGGGGAUCAAAACAGG